GACGUCCUCGGCCAGGGGUGAGCGGGCCGUGCCGCGUGGAGGGCGGUCCGGCGCGCACCGGCGUACGAGCCGACGGGCCGCCUCC
rnacentral:tRNA from 1 species